GUCCUUGCCGUAAACGAUGUAUACUUGGCGUAGUUUGGCUCAACCCUGACUGUGCCGAAGCAAACGCGAUAAGUAUACCGCCUGGGGAGUACGCUCGCAAGGGUGAAACUCAAAAGAAUUGACGGGGACCCGCACAAGCAGUGGAGCAUGUGGUUUAAUUCGAUGCAACGCGAAGAACCUUACCUGGGCUUGACAUAUAGGUGGCGGCGUCAGAGAUGACGCUUUCCCGCAAGGGACGCUUAUACAGGUGCUGCAUGGCUGUCGU
rnacentral:rRNA from 1 species